UAUUCCCACUGCUUUGGAGGCUUUCUUGCUUGAAGCAAUGAGAAUCAAUGUAACUUACUAACAGUUCUAGAAGAUUACUCAAUAGAUUUGACAAGUCACAAGAAAAUGACUUCAUUGUAAUCAAUCAGACAACCAAAUAGGCCUUCUCCUUCUUGUGAGUGCUUGAUCCUUCUAGGCCGAAUGCCUCACGAACACCAUCAUGAUUCAUUCUAAUAUAUAGUUUCAUGGAAUAAAACACUAUAUAAGCUAAAGGCAUACCCAUUGUAUUUGUAAACACCACAGGAUAUUUGUGUUUUUGUUCUUGUUGUAGUUUGUUGGUUCUGUUCUUUUUUCUUAUUUUAUUUGUUUAUGGCUUUGUUGAAUCUGAGAAAUAGAAAAUGUGUGUAACCACAUGGGAUGCCUCGUACCUAGGGAGGGAUAGGUGUGAUCAAGUGCAAUUCUUUGAUUGUGGUAGGUACUUGAUCUGCUAAUGAAUGAUCCAAAUCAGUCUUGUAGUUAUAUGUCAUGCUCAUUUAAUUAGCUUUUUUAGGAAUUUUUAAUAGAUGAUAAAUAAUUUAUCAUUAGCUUGGGUUUUGGGUGUGGCUUCAUAAUUAAUUAUCAAGUUUUCAUAAAUAUACUAUAUGAUCAUUACCCUUCGAUUUGUUUCGAAAGUUCAAAACAUUAACUUGGUUUUUCUUUCUUUUCACAAUCAGUGUCAUGUUUGAACUACUUGGAAAGAAUGGAAGGGAAUUUAAAGAGCAAACUAAGUACCACAUUAAUGAAUACGCUGAUUCUGGUUUGAGGAGUACAUCUAGUUUAAUAGAGAGUUGACAGAGGCUAAAAACUUAGUGAGUGUCGAUCAGGAGCAGAUUGUAGAAGACAUAUUGCAAACGAUUGAGAAGGAUUUGAUUCUUCUUAGCGCUACCGCAGUUGAAGUUAAACUACAAGACGAGGUUCCUGAAUUAAACUUGGAUCAUGAAUAGUUUUUGUUGGCAUGAAAGAGAAUGGUUUUCAAAGACCGAACCUUCCUCUUAUGUCAACAGAAACUGAAGAAAAGGAUUCAUCUGCCCUCACUUUCACUAUCACGGUGGAUGCAAAAUAUGGAACUUCCACAGGUGUGUCAGCCGCAGAUAUCGGAGAAAGUGAGAGAAAUUGGUUGAAAGAACUUAUGUCUCUCAUCUUCCUACUAAAUAGGGUCCUUUUCAAGCAUAUGGCUGUUAAAAGGUAAGAAAACAUGUCUUUUUUUAAAACUUAUGUUAUAAACCAAGUUGGAUGGAAUUGAGCAUGUGGUUGUUGCGAAGAAAGUUGAUUAUCCGGAGAAGUGAUUUAGAGUUUACACUUCCACAUAGUUUGUUAUAUUGUAUUAUAAAAAAUCGAGUUUGAAUAUAGUCUUAGCAUUUAUUGUUGUUAUUAUUAUUAUUUUUUCGUCAAUUAUCAUUAUUAUAGCAAAAUCUAUAAUAAGGUAGCCUAAUAAAUUUCCUGCUACGUAGCGGAAUCGCAAUAGCAUAUUGGCUUUCGUUGUGGGUGCUCUAAAUCCCGAUAUGUAACAGCGGUAUAGCGGCGAUAUACCGGUUAUUUAACAACACUGAGACAAGUUGAAACUCUCUUGAUAAUCUUACCAUCUUAAGUUACUAAAACAAAGGCCUGAUAAUAAGCUGAAAUCUCUUACUAAACUACGAAGGUAAAUGCCCAAUGAUGCCAAUUUAUAUAACAUCACAAACAAACAUCAACAAGGCUUUUUAAAACCAAAGUCCUAAUCAAACUAUAGUUAAAAGAACAAACAUAGUAUAAUAAAAUCAAGUACCACAAACA